CAUUCGAGACCCCUGUUAGUUAC
rnacentral:miRNA from 1 species